CUUCGAUGUUGCCUGAGGUUCGAUGACAGAUCUCCAUCACGCCUUCUUGGUGAGCUCUCGCCAUCCACGUCACAGAAGCAACUCUAAGUUAGUCAAAAUGUUCUUCCGUAUUGUGUUACAAAUGAACUUUUCCUGCAUAAGCUUAUGCUUGUAUAGAUGAUGCAUAUUUUUUGUUAGUUAAGAUGACCUUGAAAAUAGAUCUAGAGACCUUGCGAGAUGGGAAAAUCCUAGAACAUCAGAUUUGGUCUUCGAUGUCGCUUGAGGUUCGAUGACAGAUCUCCAUCGCGCCUUCUUGGUGAGCUCGCCAUCCACGUCACAAAAGAAACUCUAAGUAAGAUGACAUGGCAAAUAGGUGCUGCAGCUUAUAUCAAGUGUAGCUCAAAGGCCAAGAUGACAACUUAGAAGAAUAUAAGAUCCAUUUGACCAAGAUGACUUAGAACACUACUCCAAGAUGACAGCUGAAUGUGGAGAACAAGUACAAAUUGUGG